UGGUUUGAUGUAUACAUGCAUAAACCUAUACAGGAAGUACUACAUCAAUUUAAAAAAAAUGUGUUGUGUCGUGACAUAAUUGUGAUAAUUUUGUUGCAUGUCGCACUGAUAGUAAAUCGCCAGCGUAAUCUGUAAUUACAUUUGAAUUAACUUGCUUCGCUGAUUAAGUCAUAAAUAUGUCACAGACUUUGAUUAUUCUAACACCUUUAUUCUGGAUAUUAUUGCAAUUGCAGUUCUAACUUCACACGACAUUUGUUUUGUUACAGUGUCCAUGAAUGGUUGAAGUAGGUGGGUGAAAUUAAAAAGUUAAAAAGAAUUAAUAACAAAGAUAAUUUCAUUUUUCAAAUGUAAAUUCAACAAAUUAAACAAACCACAAAUUAUUCUGGUCAUGUGGUUCUUGGACCGAUCUACCAACAAACCGAAUUCCGGUGCAUAUUAUAUAGGUCUACGGAGGCGGCGUAACUUCCAUUUCGGCAUAACUAACGUAAACGGCAUGGACAGGUGAGCACGACGUAGAAGGCAGCGAGAUGACAUGUCUUUAGCAGUCGCUUGGAAUAUAGAAGGCAUAGUUUGGGUUUCUUGUGGUAGAAAACCAGUUGACGCCCCAUUGAGCUCAGUAAUUCUGACAUUAUUAUUAGAUCCUUCCACUGUUAUUCCAUGUUCCCAUUGGAUGUUGUAAUUGGUUUUACAAUUUUGUGUGUUUGUUGGUUUUGUUAAUGUGAGACACUUAUGUUAUUAAA